rnacentral:rRNA from 1 species
GCAGUCGAGCGGAUGAAGAGAGCUUGCUCUCUGAUUCAGCGGCGGACGGGUGAGUAAUGCCUAGGAAUCUGCCUGGUAGUGGGGGACAACGUCUCGAAAGGGACGCUAAUACCGCAUACGUCCUACGGGAGAAAGCAGGGGACCUUCGGGCCUUGCGCUAUCAGAUGAGCCUAGGUCGGAUUAGCUAGUUGGUGAGGUAAUGGCUCACCAAGGCGACGAUCCGUAACUGGUCUGAGAGGAUGAUCAGUCACACUGGAACUGAGACACGGUCCAGACUCCUACGGGAGGCAGCAGUGGGGAAUAUUGGACAAUGGGCGAAAGCCUGAUCCAGCCAUGCCGCGUGUGUGAAGAAGGUCUUCGGAUUGUAAAGCACUUUAAGUUGGGAGGAAGGGCAGUAAGCGAAUACCUUGCUGUUUUGACGUUACCGACAGAAUAAGCACCGGCUAACUCUGUGCCAGCAGCCGCGGUAAUACAGAGGGUGCAAGCGUUAAUCGGAAUUACUGGGCGUAAAGCGCGCGUAGGUGGUUUGUUAAGUUGAAUGUGAAAUCCCCGGGCUCAACCUGGGAACUGCAUCCAAAACUGGCAAGCUAGAGUAGGGCAGAGGGUGGUGGAAUUUCCUGUGUAGCGGUGAAAUGCGUAGAUAUAGGAAGGAACACCAGUGGCGAAGGCGACCACCUGGGCUCAUACUGACACUGAGGUGCGAAAGCGUGGGGG